UAAUACGAGGGGUGCGAGCGUUGUCCGGAAUUACUGGGCGUAAAGGGUGCGUAGGCGUCCCGGCCAGUUGUUUGUUAAAUCCUCCGGCUCAACCGGAGACUUGCAAACAAAACUUUCGGGAUAGAGUGUGAGAGAGGAAAGUGGAAUUCCUGGUGUAGCGGUGACAUGCGUAGAUAUCAGGAGGAACACCGAAAGCGAAGGCAGCUUUCUGGCUCAAGACUGACGCUGAGGCACGAAAGCGUGGGGAGCAAACAGGAUUAGAUACCCUGGUAGUCCACGCCGUAAACGAUGAGUACUUGGUGUUGGGGGAUUCGACCCCUUCAGUACCGUAGUUAACGCGUUAAGUACUCCGCCUGGGGACUACGACCGCAAGGUUG
rnacentral:rRNA from 1 species